rnacentral:rRNA from 1 species
AUGACUAUAGCCCUUGGUAGAAUUCCUAAAGAAGAAAAUGAUCUAUUUGAUACUAUGGAUGACUGGUUACGAAGGGACCGUUUCUUUUUUGUAGGAUGGUCUGGCCUAUUGCUCUUUCCUUGUGCUUAUUUCGCUUUAGGGGGUUGGUUUACAGGGACAACUUUUGUAACUUCUUGGUAUACCCAUGGAUUGGCUAGUUCCUAUUUGGAAGGUUGUAAUUUCUUAACCGCAGCAGUUUCUACCCCUGCCAAUAGUUUAGCACACUCUUUGUUGCUACUAUGGGGGCCCGAAGCACAAGGAGAUUUUACUCGUUGGUGUCAAUUAGGUGGUCUAUGGACUUUUGUAGCUCUCCACGGGGCUUUUGCACUAAUAGGUUUCAUGUUACGCCAAUUUGAACUUGCUCGGUCUGUUCAAUUGCGGCCUUAUAAUGCAAUCUCAUUCUCUGGUCCAAUUGCUGUUUUUGUUUCUGUAUUCCUUAUUUAUCCAUUGGGGCAAUCUGGUUGGUUCUUUGCGCCGAGUUUUGGCGUAGCAGCGAUAUUUCGAUUCAUCCUUUUCUUCCAAGGAUUUCAUAAUUGGACGUUGAACCCAUUUCAUAUGAUGGGAGUUGCCGGAGUAUUAGGUGCGGCUCUGCUAUGUGCUAUUCAUGGAGCGACCGUAGAAAACACUCUAUUUGAGGACGGUGAUGGUGCAAAUACCUUCCGUGCUUUUAACCCAACUCAAGCUGAAGAAACUUAUUCAAUGGUCACUGCUAACCGCUUUUGGUCCCAAAUCUUUGGUGUUGCUUUUUCCAAUAAACGUUGGUUACAUUUCUUUAUGCUAUUUGUACCCGUCACUGGUUUAUGGAUGAGUGCUAUUGGCGUAGUUGGCUUGGCUCUGAACUUACGUGCCUAUGACUUUGUUUCCCAGGAAAUCCAUGCAGCGGAAGAUCCUGAAUUUGAGACUUUCUACACCAAAAAUAUUAUUUUAAACAAGGGUAUUCGUGCGUGGAUGGCAGCUCAGGAUCAGCCUCAUGAAAAUCUUAUAUUCCCUGAGGAGGUUCUACCACGUGGAAACGCUCUUUAA